rnacentral:rRNA from 2 species
UUUGUGGAGAGUUUGAUCCUGGCUCAGGAUGAACGCUGGCGGCGUGCUUAACACAUGCAAGUCGAACGGAAAGGCCAGUGCUUGCACUGGUACUCGAGUGGCGAACGGGUGAGUAACACGUGGGUGAUCUGCCCUGUACUUCGGGAUAAGCUUGGGAAACUGGGUCUAAUACCGGAUAGGACAACUUUUUGGAUAUUGUUGUGGAAAGCUUUUGCGGUAUGGGAUGAGCUCGCGGCCUAUCAGCUUGUUGGUGGGGUAAUGGCCUACCAAGGCGUCGACGGGUAGCCGGCCUGAGAGGGUGUACGGCCACAUUGGGACUGAGAUACGGCCCAGACUCCUACGGGAGGCAGCAGUGGGGAAUAUUGCACAAUGGGCGCAAGCCUGAUGCAGCGACGCCGCGUGGGGGAUGAAGGCCUUCGGGUUGUAAACUCCUUUCGCUAGGGACGAAGCGCAAGUGACGGUACCUGGAGAAGAAGCACCGGCUAACUACGUGCCAGCAGCCGCGGUAAUACGUAGGGUGCGAGCGUUGUC